UACGUAGGGUGCAAGCGUUGUCCGGAAUUAUUGGGCGUAAAGAGCUCGUAGGCGGUUUGUCGCGUCUGCUGUGAAAACCCGAGGCUCAACCUCGGGCCUGCAGUGGGUACGGGCAGACUAGAGUGCGGUAGGGGAGAUUGGAAUUCCUGGUGUAGCGGUGGAAUGCGCAGAUAUCAGGAGGAACACCAAUGGCGAAGGCAGAUCUCUGGACAGUUCCUGACGCUGAGGCACGAAGGUCAGGGGAGCAAACGGG
rnacentral:rRNA from 1 species